AUGAAUCACGAAGAUGGCGCUGAUGCUUGGGGUUCUCAAAGGCCAGAAACGCCCCCUUGGCAUGCAUCAGAGUACAGUCAACUCAUCUCUGCAGGGCCGUUGCUGCCACUACUAGAACAGUAUGCAGGCGUAGGUUCUUAUGACCAAAACACUCUUAGGGGGCCCCGUGGCAAGUUCAGUCACAAGGCGCUAACACUGACAAAUAGCCUUCAUGCAGCACGUGGCAUCAGGCAGCACCAAUGUCAUUACGCUGGUGGUAACCCGGCAAACGUCUCGUGGCAAGCUUCACAAAUUGUAGGUGGAGCACGUCAUUAUGGUGUCACAGACCACACAAAAUGGUCAGAUGUAGCACAACAAGGGCCUACAACUACACUGAACAGCGGCGCGGGGACAUCUACGGCGGGGAGCUCUGAGCGCACGGAAGACGCGUUCCACCAGCCAGCAAACAAUCAUGCCACAAACAAUUUCGAGUCAGAGUCGGGAAUGGCAAUCAUUCCAGCAAUGCCGACAAGCACCCCUUUGAACACAAGCACUGGCAACACUCAAGUAGAUGGAACUGCCGCCGAUACUGAAGUGAAUGAUGAAACUGACGACGACGCACAAGGGGAUGAACAUGGUGGGCAAUUAGAGAUCGUGGUACCUCAACCACCGUACAUUGGGCAGAGAUUUGAAUCGUUCGAACAAGCAAAGGAAUACUACCAGACAUAUGCAAAGUUCCAUGGAUUUGCGGUCAACACCGAGUACCAUAGGAAAAUUAAGAAAACUAACGAUUACAGCAGAGGUAAGAUGAGGUGCCACAAGGCACGGAGGAACAAGAAGGGGAAAGGUGUUGCGCCUGUCGUUCUGGAACGAAAGAGAGGUAUCAUUCUCAAGACCGAGUGCCCUGUCCGGUGUAAGCUAAACGUAGAUGGAGCACAGUGGAUGGUCAAUGAAUAUUUUGACGAGCACAACCACCAACUCAUAAAUAAGUUCGACCUGGUAAAAUUUCUGACCGCCCACAGAGGGUUCACCCCCGUCGAAAGGCAAUUCGUAAAGCUGCUACAUGAUUGUAACGUCGGUCCAUCAAGAAUGGUACAGAUACUAUCUCUCAUCCACAGCAAAAAGGGGACUCUGAGUAGCACGCCGUACAUACCAGCUGACAGGCAAAUGAGCAAGAUAUACACCAACAAGAUAUUUAACAAAUUCCAGGAAGAAAUAAAGCGUGCCAGCAUGUUCACGGCUUUCCAGGUGGACGAACAUACGUUCAAGGUGUGUUCUAUUUUGGGCACGUCAGAUUCAAAACCUGAAGACCCGGACAAAGGAAGGAACUACUUCGUCAAAGCCUCGAUAGGCGAAGGCGAGUACUACUGCCAAUGCUGCAAGUUCGAAUGGGACGGCAUUGUGUGCUGUCACAUACUAAAAGUAAUGGACAUGAAUGCUGUGACACGGAUGCCCCGCCAUUUCAUAAGGCGGCGAUGGACUUGGGACGCUGGCGACGCGUUGGCGCCGCAGACAACACACGCAGUUCUGGCUGUGCAUGACGAGAGACCUGAGUCAACCAUGGAAGCCGUGAGGCACGUUGUGCUGACAAAGAACUAUGCUGAGCUAAUUGAUGAAGCGUGCAAGAGUGAUGAGACAGCGAGAGUCGCAGAAAAACACAAGAAGGCACUGAAAAGAGAGCUUGAUGAGAUCAAGAAGAGGAAAGCUGAGGAAGCCUUACACCGGUUCCCUCGCACAUCAAGUGUGCCUUCAUCCAUGGGGCCAUCAUCUGAAAACUCGGAGAUAGGAUCUGGAACAGCAAGCACACAGACCCAGGUCAGGAACCCACCCCGUUCUAUCACAAAGGGUCGUCCAAGAGAGAUAAGGUACAAGUCGGGAUUGGGGAUCCAAGCAAAACACAAGAAAACGAAGAAAGGGGCGGGCAAUCCAUGA
rnacentral:rRNA from 1 species